AACGAACGCUGGCGGCAGGCUUAACACAUGCAAGUCGAACGCAUCCUUCGGGGUGAGUGGCAGACGGGUGAGUAACGCGUGGGAACGUGCCCUUCAGUUCGGGAUAACCCAGGGAAACUUGGGCUAAUACCGGAUACGUGCGAGAGCAGAAAGAUUUAUCGCUGAAGGAUCGGCCCGCGUCUGAUUAGCGAGUUGGUGGGGUAAUGGCCCACCAAGGCGACGAUCAGUAACUGGUCUGUGAGGAUGAUCAGCCACAUUGGGACUGAGAAACGGCCCAAACUCCUACGGGAGGCAGCAGUGGGGAAUAUUGGACAAUGGGCGCAAGCCUGAUCCAGCCAUGCAGCGUGAGUGAUGAAGGCCUUAGGGUUGUAAAGCUCUUUCGUCCGGGACGAUAAUGACGGUACCGGAAGAAGAAGCCCCGGCUAACUUCGUGCCAGCCGCCGCCGUAA
rnacentral:rRNA from 1 species